UACGGAGGGCGCAAGCGUUGUUCGGAAUUACUGGGCGUAAAGCGCGUGUAGGCGGCCAGGUAAGUCGGAUGUGAAAGCCCGGGGCCCAACCCCGGAACUGCACCCGAUACUGCCCGGCUGGAGUCCCGGAGAGGAUGGCGGAAUUUCCGGUGUAGAGGUGAAAUUGGUAGCUAUCGGAAGGAACACCAGGGGCGAAGGCGGCCAUCUGGACGGUGACUGACGCUGAGGCGCGAAAGCGUGGGGAGCAAACAGG
rnacentral:rRNA from 1 species